AGCAGUAGCCGCGGUAAUACGAAGGGUGCAAGCGUUACUCGGAAUUACUGGGCGUAAAGCGUGCGUAGGUGGUGGUUUAAGUCCGUUGUGAAAGCCCUGGGCUCAACCUGGGAAUUGCAGUGGAUACUGGGUCACUAGAGUGUGGCAGAGGAUAGUGGAAUUUCCGGUGUAGCAGUGAAAUGCGUAGAGAUCGGAAGGAACAUCUGUGGCGAAGGCGACUAUCUGGGCCAACACUGACACUGAGGCACGAAAGCGUGGGGAGCAAACAGGAUUAGAUACCCCGGUAGUCCCUGUCUCUUAUAC
rnacentral:rRNA from 1 species